UGCUCUUCCCAUCUCUCCGGUCAUGAUGAGAUGAGACUGGCAGAGCUGUAUGUGCGCAUGCUGGACACGCGUGACCGUCCGCGGUUCUCUU